UCACAGUACGUCGAAAAUGAACAUUAUUAUAUAUUUAAAUAAGUAAAGUAAUUUCGAUAUAACUGUAUCUACGUACAAUACAAUAUAAACCUCCCGGCGUCGUGGACUGUUAUCAUCCAGAACCCCAUGCCGUCAAUUCGUCCCGCGUCGGAUCUGCUUGCCCUGCAAUAGAUCUGCUACCCACGCGCUGGAGAUGCGCCGGAUCUGCUCGGCCUGCGAUGGAGAUGUGCCGCAUCUGCUUGCCCCGUGUCGGAAGAUGCGCCGUAUCUGUUUGCCCCGCGUCGGAAGAUGCACUGGAUCUGCUCCGCCAAGUUAUCCGUCUCCUGCCUGCAAUUCACACCACCAGAAAGGAGAAAAGAAAGGGAGGAGGAAGAAGAAUAGAGAGGGAAG
rnacentral:misc_RNA from 1 species